GACGAACGCUGGCGGCGUGCUUAACACAUGCAAGUCGAGCGGUAAGGCCCUUUCGGGGGUACGACGAGCGGCGAACGGGUGAGUAACACGUGGGUGACCUGCCCUUACGCUCUGGGAUAAGCCUGGGAAACGUGGGUCUAAUACCGGAUAUGACUCCAUAACGCAUGUUGUGGGGUGGAAAGCCUUGUGCGGCUAGGGAUGGGCCCGCGGCCUAUCAGCUUGUUGGUGGGGUGAUGGCCACCAAGGCGACGACGGGUAGCCGGCCUGAGAGGGCGACCGGCCACACUGGGACUGAGACACGGCCCAGACUCCUACGGGAGGCAGCAGUGGGGAAUCUUGCGCAAUGGGCGAAAGCCUGACGCAGCGACGCCGCGUGGGGGAGU
rnacentral:rRNA from 1 species